GCCAGUGUGGCACAGCAGCUUGAGUGUUGGACUAGGAUUUCAGGACACCAGGGUUCGAAUCCCUGCUCAGUCA